rnacentral:rRNA from 1 species
CAGUAGCCACGGGAACACGGAGGGCGCGAGCGUUACCCGGAUUUACUGGGCGUAAAGGGCGUGUAGGCGGCCUGGGGCGUCCCAUGUGAAAGGCCACGGCUCAACCGUGGAGGAGCGUGGGAUACGCUCAGGCUAGAGGGUGGGAGAGGGUGGUGGAAUUCCCGGAGUAGCGGUGAAAUGCGCAGAUACCGGGAGGAACGCCGAUGGCGAAGGCAGCCACCUGGUCCACUUCUGACGCUGAGGCGCGAAAGCGUGGGGAGCAAACCGAAUUAGAUACCCGAGUAGUCCCUGUCUCUUAUAC